CACACUGGGACUGAGACACGGCCCAGACUCCUACGGGAGGCAGCAGUGGGGAAUAUUGGACAAUGGGCGCAAGCCUGAUCCAGCAAUGCCGCGUGGGUGAAGAAGGUCUUCGGAUUGUAAAGCCCUUUCGGCGGGGACGAUGAUGACGGUACCCGCAGAAGAAGCCCCGGCUAACUUCGUGCCAGCCGCCGCCGUAACAC
rnacentral:rRNA from 1 species